CUUACCAUCAGGGCUGAAAGCAAUGGUUCUCACAUACAAAUCACGGGAAGGAUCAGGUGAUUCUUCAUGCAAAGUAAAAAGUUUUUUGCCAGUCUGAACAUCAAAGACAUUAGCGGCCUGGUUACAGCCAGUUGCUAAAUACUUGCCAUUGUUACUAAACUUAACGCAGCAAACAACACUGGGAUGCUCUAGUGUGUGCACGAGAUUAAUAUUAAAAACCCUUUUGCAUGCUGGGUUAUAAGUGACGUACCAACUCUGAGAAG